CCAUGAUCUAUUUUACUUAAGGUAGAGUACCCAAUUCCAAAUCCCUUCCAGUGCCAGGUUAAAUUUCUUAAAAUUGCUGGUGUUCUUUAAAGGAACACUGCCUGCACCAUAACCACUACAGUGCCAGAGAACUCGCCAGUGUAAGUAGUCAAGCCAUACAUGGCCAGUAGUUUGACUGAAAGCAUCAGGGUGAGCUAGCCCUGCACCUCCAGGCUUACAUCAGGUAGAGAGUGCUUUAGAGACAAAGAGUCGGUGGACCGGUAAACUUGUUUGUCAACUUACAUAGGGGGCGCCAGGGCACGCUUAGAACUAUAAUCAUUACAGUGGUUUUAGUGGUUAGGGUGCUUGGAGUAUUCCUUUAAUUAUUUCUAGCAAACACAUAAAACUCAAAAUAGGAUAAUUACAAACAUCUUCUUUAAGUAAUUUAUAAAUUAUGCAAAUUUGCUUUGAAAUAGAGUUCUACUGUGCAGGAUUUAAAAUGUCCACACCUAAUAACACCAACAAAAUCUAUAUAUUAAAAAAAAUACACAUCAUAAGGUGUGCCCAUGGUGUGCAUAAAGCAUCGAAAAGCAGCAAGUUGGGAACACCACAAAAAGUUAAAGGGACACUGUAGUCACCUAAACAACUUUAGCUUAAUGAAGCUGUUUUAGUGUAUAGAUCAUGCCUCUCAGGUUUCACUGCUCAGUUCACUGUCAUUUAGGAGUUAAAUCACUUUGUUUCUGUUUAUGCAGCCAUUUCCACGCCUUCCCUGGCUAUGACUGACACAGCCUGCAUGAAAUAAAACUGGUUUCACUUUCAAUUAGAUGUAAUUUACCUUAAAG